rnacentral:lncRNA from 13 species
UUCAGACAGACCACAGCAAAAUAUAGGGUGGGCCUCAGGGGCCUGCAGGUGCCUUCAAUUUACGGCUGCAGGACAACAGAAGGGGCGUGUCUCUCGCUGAAUUAAGACAGAAGAGAGAGGUUCUUUAUUAAACCCAGAAGAAUUGGUCUUCUCUGGAGGAGGCACCUCAGAGCAGCAGGACCGGGCUCCCUGCCCCCAGCGCCUCCCUGGAUGGCCUCCCGUUCUGUCUCCCCAGCAGCCUCCAUGGGCUCAGGCAGGUUCCCAGGAAGCCCGUGACCUGCUC